rnacentral:tRNA from 1 species
GGAGGGGUGGCAGAGUCCGGUUGAUUGCUGCUGUCUCGAAAACAGUCGGCGUAAGAAACGUCCGUGGGUUCGAAUCCCACCCCCUCCG